rnacentral:rRNA from 1 species
UACGUAGGGUGCAAGCGUUGUCCGGAAUUAUUGGGCGUAAAGAGCUCGUAGGCGGUUUGUCGCGUCUGCUGUGAAAACCCGAGGCUCAACCUCGGGCCUGCAGUGGGUACGGGCAGACUAGAGUGGCGGUAGGGGAGGAUUGGAAUUCCUGGUGUAGCGGUGGAAUGCGCAGAUAUCAGGAGGAACACCAAUGGCGAAGGCAGACUCUGGGCCGUAACUGACGCCUGAGGAGCGAAAGCAUGGGGAGCGAACAGG